GGUUUUGAUUGUGAGGUGUUAGCCAGCCCUAGCGAGGAGUUCAAUCUUAGUUCUUUAUUAUCGAUGCAUAAUGGUAUAGCUCUAGAUAAGACUGCAAGCGAUAAGUCAGCAGAAGAUUAGAAUGUCUAAAACCAUUGUUAUAAUCUAUAAUAGAGCAAGGUAUUGGAGGUGUGUUUAGUGUGGGGUUGAAGGCUCAGCAAGGCAGCUGUAUUAUAAAAUAUGGUUGGAUUGUCUUCCUUUUAAGAUAAAGAUAAAUUAAGACGAAUUUCAUUAAUUUUUCUUUGUAUUUUUAUUUUGAUGAAAAUUUUUUUAAGUCAAGGUAAAUUUUUAGUUUAAACUUUAGAAAAAAUAAAUCUUUGAUAAGUAUUUAGUGUUAUAUAGUUUAGUAUUGAAUUAAGCGUCGUUAAUAGUAAAUCACAAUUUUAAAUUUUGAAGUGAAAAGUUUUUAUAUUGCUAGAUGUGCAUUUUAAAUCUAAUAUAACGGCAACGGGUCAUUUUAAAAUUGAGACUAUAUUCUAAAUAUUGCUUAAUAUUUACCAAAUAUUUUAUUGUUCUGAUUAAUUAGCUUAAAGUAAUACCGAAGUGAUUAUAAUAAUGGAAUAC
rnacentral:misc_RNA from 1 species